AUAUUUUAUUACAGACAGAGCUAUAAGGUACUUCACCUUGUUCCAGACUCUGGUUACUUUAUUAAAAACCCCUUCAUGGAUUUAAAUACUUUUAUACCUGUGGUUCUACCUGCCAUCUCCCAUAAGACACGGUGAUUCGUGCUUUGAGUCCAGAAGCAGACGAACAAUAUGGCGGACUGGAGUGCUGAUAAUAAUGGAAUAUUAAACGAAAAUGGCGUACAUGUAAAUGGUUCUAAUUCAUCAAAUUAUGAAAACUUUAAUGAAAUUACUUUCAAAAAUGAAAACACGGAAAAUUACGUUCUUGGUCAGAAUUCAAACAACAGUUCCAUGAGUUCCAAAAGCUCGAGGGGAAGUGAGAAGUUAAAAUUGGACGGGGGAUAUCUUUUAACAGAAGACAGCGAAACGGAGCAGACGAUUAACACAGGCAAUAAAGAUGAGAGUUUGAAGAGUUUUAGUGUACCGUCUAUACCUCCCAGAAAACCUUUAGUUAGUAGCUGGGGUUCUAAAACCAGUCUUAAACCACCUUCUAUCAGUCUCA